rnacentral:rRNA from 1 species
CGGGUUCGUAAAGCACUUUCAGUAGGGAGGAAGGUAGUGUAGUUAACACCUGCAUUAUUUGACGUUACCUACAGAAGAAGCACCGGCUAACUCCGUGCCAGCAGCCGCGGUAAUACGGAGGGUGCGAGCGUUAAUCGGAAUUACUGGGCGUAAAGCGCAUGCAGGCGGCCUGUUAAGUCAGAUGUGAAAGACCCGGGGCGUUAACCUCGGAAUUGCAUUUGUAAACUAGGCAGGCUAGAGUCUUGUAGAGGGGGGUAGGAAGUUUCUAGGUGUAGCGGUGAAAUAGCGUAGAGAUCUGAAGGAAUACCAGUGGCGAAGGCGGCCCCCUCGGACAAAGACUGACGCUCAGAUGCGAAAGCGUGGGGAGCAAACAGGAUUAGAUACCCCUGGUAG